GACGAACGCUGGCGGCGUGCUUAACACAUGCAAGUCGAACGAAGUGGCGAACGGGUGAGUAACGCGUAAUCAACCUGCCCUUCAGAGGGGGACAACAGUUGGAAACGACUGCUAAUACCGCAUACUGAAGGCGGGGAUUGCGUUUGAUUAGCUAGUUGGCGGGGGAACGGCCCAACAAGGCGAUGAUCAGUAGCCGGUCUGGGGGGAUGAACGGCCACAUUGGGACUGAGACACGGCCCAGACUCCUACGGGGGGCAGCAGUGGGGAAUCUUCCGAAAUGGACGAAAGUCUGACGGAGCAACGCCGCGGGAGUGAUGACGGGCUUCGGGUUGUAAAGCUCUGUUAAUCGGGACGCGGUACCGGAAUAGAAAGCCACGGCUAACUACGUGCCAGCAGCCGCGGUAAUAC
rnacentral:rRNA from 1 species